rnacentral:rRNA from 1 species
UGCAAGUCGAACGAGAUUAAGGGGCUUGCUCCUUAUGAAAGUGGCGCACGGGUGCGUAACGCGUAUGCAACCUACCUCAAUCAGGGGGAUAGCCCGAAGAAAUUCGGAUUAAGACCGCAUAACAACACAGGAUAGCAUUAUCCAAUGUUCAAAUAUUUAUAGGAUUGAGAUGGGCAUGCGUGUCAUUAGCUAGUUGGCGGGGUAACGGCCCACCAAGGCGACGAUGACUAGGGGAUCUGAGAGGAUGACCCCCCACACUGGUACUGAGACACGGACCAGACUCCUACGGGAGGCAGCAGUAAGGAAUAUUGGUCAAUGGAGGGAACUCUGAACCAGCCAUGCCGCGUGCAGGAAGACAGCCCUCUGGGUCGUAAACUGCUUUUAUUCGGGAAUAAACCUACUUACGUGUAAGUAGCUGAAUGUACCGAAGGAAUAAGGAUCGGCUAACUCCGUGCCAGCAGCCGCGGUAAUACGGAGGAUCCAAGCGUUAUCCGGAUUUAUUGGGUUUAAAGGGUGCGUAGGCGGCUUAUUAAGUCAGGGGUGAAAGACGGUGGCUCAACCAUCGCAGUGCCCUUGAUACUGAUGAGCUUGAAUGAACUAGAGGUAGGCGGAAUGUGACAAGUAGCGGUGAAAUGCAUAGAUAUGUCACAGAACACCGAUUGCGAAGGCAGCUUACUAUGGUUUUAUUGACGCUGAGGCACGAAAGCGUGGGGAUCAAACAGGAUUAGAUACCCUGGUAGUCCACGCCCUAAACGAUGAAUACUCGCUGUUAGCGAUAUACAGUUAGCGGCUAAGCGAAAGCGUUAAGUAUUCCACCUGGGGAGUACGCCCGCAAGGGUGAAACUCAAAGGAAUUGACGGGGGCC